rnacentral:rRNA from 1 species
UUAGUCAAUGCUCGCAAGAGUGAACUAGCUAACUGAAAUCACAAGAACCAUAAAAUGUGGUGAAUGUAAUAACGUAAGGGAAAAAAAUGAUAUUACCUUACUAUUAGUGUUGUCCAAAACUGGUGCCAGAAGACUCGGUAAGGCCAGAGACGCAAACGUUAGUCGUCCUAAUCAGGCGUAAAGGGUAUGUAGGCUGCUUUAAAACUUUUAUGUUUAAUAGCUAAUGUAAAAAAUAAAAAAAAAAUAAAAAUAUUAAAAAAACAUUAAUGUUUUUUACAUUAAAAUAUAAAAUUAAUUAAAGCUAGGAUCAAAUUGAGGAUAAUUGAAAUAAUACCUAGUGUAGGGUUUAAAUCUGUUGAUGUUAGGUAGAGUACUAACGGUGAAAGCUUUUAUCUAAAAAUGAUUGACGCUGAGAAACGAAGGUGAGAAUAGGAAAUAGGAUUAGAUACCCAGAUACCUCUCACAGUCAACGAUGAAUGGUGGUUGUUAGUUAGUUUUAUUUAACUGAUAACGAUGUUAACACGAUAACCAUUCCGCCUUGCGAGUACGGUUGCAAAACUGAAACCAAAAAAAUUAGUCGGUCUCGAA